rnacentral:rRNA from 1 species
AGAGUUUGAUCAUGGCUCAGGAUAAACGUUGGCGGUGCGCUUUAUGCAUGCAAGUCGAACGGGGUUAUGGUUUUCGGACUGUAACCUAGUGGCGAACGGUUGAGUAACACGUAAAUAACCUACCUCUGAGUGGGGGAUAACCUGUCGAAAGGCAGACUAAUACCGCGUGUGGUAAUCAGGGAUUGCCUGGUUAUUAAAGCCUUAGGGCGCUCGGAGAGGGGUUUGCGUCUGAUUAGCUAGUUGGUAGGGUAAUGGCCUACCAAGGCGACGAUCAGUAGCUGGUCUGAGAGGAUGGUCAGCCAGAUGGGGACUGAGAUACGGCCCCAACUCCUACGGGAGGCAGC